UACGAAGGGGGCGAGCGUUGUUCGGAAUCACUGGGCGUAAAGGGCGCGUAGGCGGCCCUCUUAGUCGCGUGUGAAAGCCCCGGGCUCAACCUGGGAACGGCGCGCGAAACGGGAGGGCUGGAGUUCGGGAGAGGAGAGUGGAAUUGCGAGUGUAGAGGUGAAAUUCGUAGAUAUUCGCAAGAACACCAGUGGCGAAGGCGGCUCACUGGCCCGAUACUGACGCUGAGGCACGAAAGCGUGGGGAGCAAACAGG
rnacentral:rRNA from 1 species